ACUUCUCUUUCAAAGAUGGACUGGGGAAAGACAUUAAGUUCGGAGCAGCCCAAGGCUGCGGAUCUAGCCUUUCUCCCUCCGGUCUCCAGACCCACGCAGGUUAAGGCAGCCAAGCAGAGACAGCGGAGCCCCGGUGCGUGGUUCAGGCCUGGUCAACAGGUAGGAGGGCCAGACUGGGGGCCAGGCACAGAGGAGGGCAGGCCCGCCCGCACCGGCGUCCAGGGUCCCGGGUUCCGGGUCCCGGGACUGGAGGAGGUCGCCGGCAGCCCGCCCUUCCAGAGGCUUGAGAUUGGGUGGACGAGACCUGAAGAUCCUCUCGGUCUGGACCCCGACUUUCGAUCUGCUUAGAGACCUAAGCCGCGAGCCUUUGCCCACACGGAGAAACGUACUAUCUAAUAUCUAACAACCCUGUACUGCAGUGUCUGGAGGUUGCGGGAAGGAGACAGUGUCUCCCUUUGGGAAAACUACUGAGGACUUCUGUAUAUCCUACUUCUUCUGGACUCCAUAAGUUACAGGACCGAAGGAAACUGAGAAAUAGAGAAAAGGUGCCGCUUGCCCCUUUAACUCCAGAAAAGGGUGGCUGCAGAUGGAGCAGCUUGGACUUUAUUUUUUACGUUGCGCGAAGCCCGCCGGCAGCGGCUUAUGCCAAUUGAUUUUCCCAGCUCCCAGCCCUGGAUGUCUAGCUAUCUCCAGGACAGUUUGUUUUUUUCUUUUUCUGUCUUUCUUUCUUUCCUUCAAUGUAUCAGAAGACCUGAAGCUCGCUGCCCGCGAGUUUCCUCCGAGUUCCCAGUUGCUGAGACAAAGGAAAACCCACUCCCUUGGAGGAGCAUGACCUUUUCCUGUAAUUCUUCCCACUGCUGUUGUUGAGCUCCUUGGAUCCUGGCUCCUGGACACCAUCAUCAAGAAGACUUUAUGGAUGGGCUGUCCACCCACUGAGAGAAGAGGAGCAUCAGCUACAGUUUCUCUCUAGAUUGCCUUCUUCAUUUUGAGUAAUGACUGUCAGCAGGGUCAGAUUAAACACAAAACAACUGGACAAUUGCUUGGAGGACUAAACUAUAAGGGCACUAACAUGUCAAUAGUAGGCUAACACAUCCAUGGAAAAUAUAUUUACCAGCUCUUCUCUCAGGGAGGAUUCUGUGUGGGGUUGGAAGUAAUGAUUUGUUAAAUUCCUUAGGGGUAGAAAGUAGGGCAUAAUCAGAAUAUAGAGGAAUAUGCUGUUUGACUUCAGGGUUUCUGUUUUUCUUACUAGGAUAUAUAAAACAGGGACUCUAGCUAGAUUGUUUAUGACCACAGAGGGUAGGCUGAGUGCUCCCAUGAUCUUCCUGCUUGGUUCUUGCCCAUACAGAGGUCAGCCUUUCCUCUAAUAAAGAUUGAACAAGUAGUGGUCUGAGGGAGACACCAAUUCAUUACCCUACAUGUCUCUUCUCUGCACUCCAGGGCUUUGAUAAUAAAGACACUGGCAGACUAUCUAUCUUCCAUUUCUAUAAUGUGAGCCCUUAGGGAGUCUUCGUUCACUUGGGGGUGAGGGUCAUUGCUCACAGAGUAGUUCAAGUCAAAUGGAACUUGAACUCUUUGCCUAUGGGCCUGGUGGUCAGACUCUGUGUUGAGUUCAUUAGAUUAUUGGAGACACAAGGUAGAGCUGGAUGCUUCAAAAAUAUUUGGCUAAAGGAUGACAUUGCUGGUUAUUUGUAGAUAAAGCCAUGAUGGAACCUGCUUGGAAUCAUGAAAUAUGGAACUGGUGGUCAUGUUUAAAAAUACAACUAAUAGUUAAGUACCUACUGGACACUGUAGAGACUUAGGGGCUAGACAGACAUGGUUCCUGCCCCCUUGGAGCUUACACUGUAGCUUCCCCUUAGGUAUGAAGAACAGUGGCUACAACUAACAAAUGGCCACAAAGAUAUAAUUGAGCCAGUGUUCCAAUUAUUAGGGUAAUUCCUAUUUCCUUAAUCAUUCCUAUUGACCAUGUUCUAUAAGCCUGCAUUCUAUAAAUGGCGUAUGACCAUGGGCUGUUUCCCCCCAGCAAGUUGUACAAAGUUCUGUGGUACCAGGGAAAGGGCUUAAGGUUAGCAGGGCCUCUGCGGAAGGACAUAUGAAGUGACUUGGGUUAGGAAACAGGAAGGGAUAGGAUUCAAGAACAGCUAUUGCUUCUGUUCUAUAUAGGAAACUGCAGCGUGAAAAAUGCUGGGCUGGGAAUUUUGAGACCUGGGUUUUAGUUUGUGUUCUAAUACUAACAAGCUAUGUGACUGUGGGUAAGUCAUUUCACAUUCCAUUUGGAUGCCUCUUGAGUGACUCCAGGCCUCUCCAGCUCUAAAACAUUAAGAUCAGGCCCUACGCUACAGCUGGCCAGUGUGUAAUUCUUCUGUUUCUAUGCUGUUAGGUCAAAUAGAUCUUCAAUAGUUACUUGAUUGUUAUUACUUUUUUCUGAAGUGGGUGUUUUAUCAAUGUUUUAGGAUACAGUGAGUCUGCUUCUCCCCUUUGGAGUUAGGAAGGUUGUAGGAAUAUACACUGUAGAGCAUAUGGGAGCUUUAUCCCCUCCUUUUUUCCCCGCUACCUUUCUCCCUCUCCUUCCCUUCAUCACAUUUCUAUUGAGCAUAUGCCAUUGCCGUGUACCAGGUGUGUGCUAGGUUUGGAGAUACAAGGUAAACCUGAGACUUUCCCAGUCUCCAGGAGACAAAACCCUAAUUUCUUUCAUCUGCUGUCUUUCUCUUUGGAAAGAAUCAACGAUAUCCCAGGGGAAUGUGCCCAUGUCCCAGGGUAACCAACUACAGACAGAUGCCCCAUUCUACUCAAGCAACUUUUAGAGUGCCUUGAGAUACACAUCAGAUAAUUAUGCAGGGCCAGGCAUGGUGCUGCACACUUGUAAUCACAGCACUUUGGGAGGCCGAGGCAGCAGAUUGCUUGAGCCCAGGAAUUCAAGUGUAGCCUAGGGAACAUGGCAAAACCCCAGCUCUACAAAAAAAUACACAAAUUAGCUGCGUGUGGUGGCCUAUGACAGGAGGCUGAGAUGGGAGGAUUGCUUGAGCCUGUGAGGUCGAGGCUGCAGUGAGCCGAGAUCAUGCCAUUACUCCAGCCUGGGUGACAUAGGGAGACCCUGUCUUG
rnacentral:lncRNA from 1 species